CCUACGGGAGGCAGCAGUGAGGAAUAUUGGUCAAUGGGCGCGAGCCUGAACCAGCCAAGCAGCGUGAAGGAUGACUGCCCUACGGGUUGUAAACUCCUUCUAUAAAGGAAUAAAGUGAGGCACGUGUGCCUUUUUGUAUGUACUUUAUGAAUAAGGAUCGGCUAACUCCGUGCCAGCAGCCGCGGUAAUACGGAGGAUCCGAGCGUUAUCCGGAUUUAUUGGGUUUAAAGGGAGCGUAGAUGGGUUGUUAAGUCAGUUGUGAAAGCUUGCGGCUCAACCGUACAAUUGCAAUUGAUACUGGCAGGCUUGAGUACAGUUGAGGGAGGCGGAAUUCGUGGUGUAGCGGUGAAAUGCGUAGAUAUGACGAAGAACACCGAUGGCGAAGGCAGCUUACUGAACUGCCACUGACGUUGAUGCUCGAAAGUGUGGGUAGCAAACAGGAUUAGAUACCCUUGUAGUC
rnacentral:rRNA from 1 species